ensembl:snRNA U1 U1 spliceosomal RNA
UGACCUACCUGGCAGGGGUGAUACCAUGAUCACGAAGGUGGUUCACCCAGGCCGAGGCUCUGCCAUUGCACUUCAGUUGUGUUGACCAUUGCGAAUUCCCCAAAUACAGGAAUCUCAACUGGAUAAUAUCUGGUAGUGGGGGACUGCGUUUGCCUCUCA